UGGAUGAAAGAUUUUCCACAUUUGUUACAUUCAUAAGGUUUCUCACCUGUAUGAAUUCUCUUAUGCCAACUUAGUCCUGUGCUGGCUUUGAA